GCCUCAGUGGCGUAGUGGUGAACGCUCCCCGGUAUGGAUGAGACACGGGUUCAACUCCCUCUUGGUGCC